GUUACCUGUUAACUUUGGUUUGCCUCACGAAGCUUCCAGCCGAACAGCCACUCGACUCACGGCCGCAGAAAUCUCUUCCGCCGAGUUCCGGCCCGUUAAACUCGCUCCCGUUGGCGCCGGUUCCCGUCCGCGCCGCGACAGCAGUCUCUACUUGAAAGCCACCUACCUACUACAGCAGUGCACUUGGAACUGCCACACCAGCGAGGAUUCCUCUAGGAAGAAGCUGGGGCAGAAGAGAAACAGUUCUCAGCCUCAGAUUACCAAGGCAAUUCCCUCUGGCUGUUACCAUCUUAGACAAGGCCUUGCAUCAAGCAGCACAGCUGGUAAUGCAGUUCUCAGCUACCUCACCUAACAACCGUACUGUGUUUUAAAACUUGGCUGCACUGGUCUCAAACUGGGAAGCUCCCGCUUGCAGCGCAUCAGCACGGUCAUCCAGCUCCGACAGCUUCUGAUCUCGCUCCAAUACCUUGUCCACAUUCACUCUCAUGAUGUCAACCACCUGCAUCAGUUUAAUGCUCACUGUAAGUUAUCAGUUGUAUCACCCACUGUGGAGCUUAAUUGCAGGCAACAGAUGCAACCCAUAAUAUUCUUGAUGCUCUCUUCUCAGGAGUAGGAGCUAUUGCCUUUUAGUGUAUCCAGUCAUAAGCUUAAACAAAACCAUGAAACUCCCCUGCAGCUGAAGCCCUUAAUACUUUAAAAUGUCAGCAGUCCCAGUAGGACUGGCAUUCCCUUAAACCUGGGGAAUAAUUCCUGACUUGCUUCAGCAGGACUUGAGGCACAUAAACAUGAGUCAACCAUAUGUCAAAAAAACACUGUCAGUAGCCAGCCUGGCUUUUGGAGUCCCCAGAAAUCUAGGUGUGCUGUAUUUGGUGGUCAGCCUUCAGUGCUACUGCUGAGAAAAAAGCUUGUUCUCUACAGGAACAGCGGUUUUUAUCUUAUGCCAAAUUCUCAAGCACCUAGUUUGCAGCUAAUGUUUAGACACUGGUAACUUCUCUCUACUCCCCCACUCCAACUGAAUUUUCUUUUUUGUUUUUAACCUUUGCAAGAGUAAAGACAACACAAGUAUAAAAGUAAGCUGAAUGAUACUAGGCUUCCCAUUCAUAUAAUGAAGGGGAAAGUGCUUUGGCCAAAAUAUCCCCUCUAGUUAUAUAGGUUUCCUGAAGGAAAGCCAUCACACGGGUAUGAGACUAGACUUUUUACCUCAUCCACUUGGUUCUGAGUCUGCUGAAGACGACGAUUACUGCCAGCAGCCACAUUUGAGCUUCCAGGGGCGCUGGCUGACCUGCAGUAAAGAAACUCAUCGUUAUUCUGUUCAACUUUUGAUAGAUUGUGUUUUUGGUUUUAAGUGGAUAUGCUUAGAGCACACAAGUUACCUGACAUUCGUGAAAACAGGGAACUUUUAUCCUUGGAAUAAAUAUGGGGCAGUUUCCUACUGGAAAAGCGAUGUUUUAACAGCUGACAAUAGGCAUAAGUCAUGCAGCGUCCUGACACCUUGCCAAUGAAUUGCUUGACAUGCUCAAAGACAACAGUGGCUCGCUGAUACUAUAGCUUACCAUAAAGCAUACGACAACUCCUGUGAUGGGCCACAGGAGUCAAACAUUCUACAGUUUGGGCUCGGGGGUGCUCUUGUUUUCCACUAUCAACAGAAAUACUAAGCUUCAAGCUACAGUAGUUUACAAAACCUGAAGUACAGACACUUAACGGUUGUCCUAACCACAUGCCUUCCCAGUGGUUGCUUCUGUCUCUAUUCUUUUGAAACAGCUGACACUGAGCAAGAGAAAGCACAAGAAGGAAAAAGGAUCCAGCAUGUACAACAAGUUACUUCUGUUCAACCUUGAGUUCAUAAUCUCAGACAGUUGAGUUCUUACCAGCUCGAACACCCUGAAUCUCUGUAACAGAUGCGAGAGCCUCUCACACCCUUUUCAUUCCUUUACCAAGUUUCUGUUGCACAUCUCUAGAACUAGCUGUACUCAACUUGCUCUUUCAUGUUUUCAUUUACUUCUGCAUCAGAAAUGUGUACUGUUUAGUGCACCCUGAUACUCAAGAGAGCUGAAUCUGAGCAUUGGCUGUA